UACGUAGGGAGCAAGCGUUGUCCGGAAUCAUUGGGCGUAAAGAGCGCGUAGGUGGCCACAUAAGUCCGUUGUGAAAGUCAAAGGCUCAACCUUUGAAAGCCGAUGGAUACUGUGUGGCUAGAGUACGGAAGAGGCGAGUGGAAUUCCUGGUGUAGCGGUGGAAUGCGCAGAUAUCAGGAGGAACACCAAUAGCGAAGGCAGCUCGCUGGGACGUUACUGACACUGAGGCGCGAAAAGCGUGGGGAGCGGACAGG
rnacentral:rRNA from 1 species